UACGAAGGGGGCUAGCGUUGUUCGGAAUUACUGGGCGUAAAGGGCGCGUAGGCGGUGUGUCAAGUCAGGCGUGAAAGCCCCGGGCUCAACCUGGGAACCGCGCUUGAGACUGGCACGCUAGAGUUCGGGAGAGGAUGGUGGAAUUCCCCAGUGUAGAGGUGAAAUUCGUAGAUAUUGGGAAGAACACCGAUGGCGAAGGCAGCCAUCUGGACCGACACUGACGCUGAGGCGCGAAAGCGUGGGGAGCAAACAGG
rnacentral:rRNA from 1 species